AAGGAGUACAAAGAAAGGAAAAGACAUCCUUCCGAAUGCCUCAAGGAAAGUUUUGGGGGGCAGGGGGAACUAAACGGGACAUUAAAGGUUCUUCUAUCUGAACCAACUAGGGCUAGCCCUGUUAGCCAAAAAACCCUUGCACCUUACUAGGAGGUUGUGGAUUUGAGUUUUGUCAUAGGCAAGACUUCCCCCUCCCCUGGCUACGGCCUCUGAUGUACCAAAAAGAUGGUUCUACCUAGGGUCUAAUCGUUCCCUUUUGUGGCAUUUGGGUUGGUUGCUGAGCUACUACUAACAGAUCAGUCUUGCCAAUGAAGCUCCUGUGUACUGGGUUAAACUCAGAAGAUCAACCUUGUCAUCACUACAUUCCACUCACAAGUUCUUUAUUUUUGCAUGGUUCACCUAGUUUCAAAAGCUUUCUCAGGAACAAACAUGGUUGAUCCUGAUCCAAAUUGUCCUACUCAACUAGUCCAGUUCCCUGCUGGGUACUCCAAUUUGAGCAUCCUCUUCUGAUGGAUGGAAGAGACAAGUGCGAGUGGGUGCUUCCAAUAACUGUGCAUGCACCGCUUCUGAGCACUCCACCAGUUCAUAUACGAAAUGAGAAGCUUGUGUCUUUGGAACCCUUGUGGGUUCGUAAUUGAAAGUAAGAUUUGUCGAUGAAAGCCUAAUACAAAGUUGUGAAAUUGCAUUAUCUGAAGAUAUCCUUUUGGUUGCACGCUACAACCGGAAGUGCAAGCUCCUAAAUUGCUGAUUUACCAUGGAUGCACCUCUAAUUUCAGCGGGUUAACUUUGUUAUUUCCUGUUGAGAUUUGUUAUUCAAAUGCAAAUCGGCAAAUCACAGUGCUUACAAGAGAUGAUGAUGGAAGAAGACACUACAACAUGUGCUCUGUCCCAGAUCCUAAUCUUCGUAAAAGAUGCUUUCUGUGAUUAGUGAGUGUUGUGCCCUACUCUGAUUCUACCUUCAUUUUGCUGUCCACUGUAUAUUUUUUUGGCCUCGAUGUGUUUUCCUUUACAUUCUAGGAACUGUCUGAAAGUGUUUCCAUUUUGUAUCUGCAAAGGAUUUUCUUUGGUACGAAAAUGAAGCAAUGAUUUUUAUUAGGAGAAAUUGG